AUUAUUCGUACUGAAGUGAUGAAUAAACAUUUUGCGAGAUUGCGAGUGAAGGCUGAGGAUGGGGAGAGCAAUUCUAAGGCGGUAAUUGAUUCAAUUGGGGCGUAAUUGGUGGCGUGAAGUGGUGAAGAAGAAGAAGUGGAAACGUUUGAAGUUUGUUUUGCGAAUAUCGUGAAAAUUAUUGCAUUUUGGGAAAUUCGGAAGACGACGGGUGAUAGAGAUGUAAAGAAUCCGACAAUUCGCGCUUCCGUUGUCAUCAGCGAUAAAUAUCGUGUCGAUAAGAACAAGCUCGUGAUAACACGCGGAAUGCCACCGUAGAAUACCGAAGCGGGGCGCUGAAACCCACCACGAUAAAGGCAAGAUUCAUCCACAAAUGGGGGAGUUUCAGCCUUGGCUCAGUUGUCGUUCCGGCCUCGUCACGGUUUCGUCGAUCCUGCGGCAUCACAACGGUCUACCUCGUCAUUAAUUAAAAUCCAGAGGAGCCAUUUACCUCUGGCUGAAAUACAGUGACCCCUUCCCGCAUCUCAAGAUUAAAAUGGGAAUUCUAUUGAAUUUAUUUCACCUCACGGCAUUCACGGCCUACAGUUUCACAUUGUACCAGGCAAUGUUCAAUCUGAACAUACCGAUAUUGGCCCAACGGUUCAAAGACUUCGACCCGGGCCAGUUGAAGUACCUGACGAUCUGGGGAGUGAUAGUGCAGUCUUUGUUCUUCUUCCUCUGCAUCCUGAAUGAUCUCUAUGGGUCGCAUAAAGUUCAGCCGAAGAAAGCCCCGAUCUUGAGACGCAUCAAAGAUUAUUUCCAUGCAGCGUUCAGCUUUCCACUUGCUAUGUUUGUAGGCGUUACGUUCUGGUCACUGAUGUUCGUUGACCGUGAAUUAGUGCUACCAAAAGCCCUCGAUCCGUACUUCCCAUGGUGGUUGAAUCAUCUCAUGCAUACCAUGAUUAUGGUUACAACAGUUAUUGAAAUGCUUGUUGCCCCGAGACAGUACCCAAGGAGAUCGCACGGCCUCGGAGGACUUGGAGUUCUCAUGCUUUCGUAUUUAGUCUGGCUUCACUUCAUCUACUACAAGAGUGGCAUUUGGGUGUACCCAGUGCUGGAGGUCCUCUCAAUCCCCCUGAGGAUCGUUUUUCACAUCACUUUGUUCUUCUUCUGUUGUUUGCUCUACUUCGUCGGAGAGUACUUUGAUCAUCUUCUCUGGGGUAACGAACAAUCUAAACAACUGAAAAGCCAUUCGAAAACCAAGUAGCCACGUCAGUUAUCACCGAAAGGUGACGGCAACGUGGGCUCUCCUCUCAUCGGUGGUGGAAUUGGUGGUGGUGCCAUCAAAAGAACAUCCAGUAAGACUAGUAAGAAGAAGAAAACCAAGUAAACAAGUCAAUUGGCAAUUUCAACUCGCCCGCGAAAUUCACUUGUUGAAGUAUUAAAUCAAUCAAUUUCUUUUUAAAUACUAUAAUUUCAUGAUCGAGUGGAGUCGAUCAGUGAUAGAUUCCAGAGAGUUUUAUAAUUUUUUGUACCCAUUUUUCAUCCUGAAACUAGCGUUAAGCGAUGAUUAGGGAGAUUGUUAAAUCAAACACUAAUGAUAACAGUAGGAUGCAUAUAGAUAAUGUGAAAAGUAAAAUAGAUUAAAGUUUCCUCGGGUAUUAGGAAAGAUUGUUGCCUUAGUUAGAGUAAAAAAAAUGUGUUCACGGUGUAAUAAUGCAGAGAAUGUGAUGAUUUUCUACUUAAUAGGAGUCUUACUGUGCCUAGGUGAAUGCUGCCACCACUAAUGAAUACUAUUUAAUUAGUGAUGAAUUUUUCAGGACAAUUGUCCACUUUGAAAUCAUUUGGUCAAACAAUUUAAGAAACAAUAACGAAAUAAGCGAGAUUAAUGGAAUAGUUUAUUUGAAUCUCCAGUUACAAAUUUAACGAAUUCCAGGUGCAUUCCACAAAUCGACAAAUAUUUAAAAGUCGAAUCGAAAAUUGGUAAAAAAUUAUUCUGACAAACGUCAUGUAUUGCAUUGUCUUAAAAAUAAUAAAAAUUACAAACUACAUGUAAA